CAUCCUGAGUGAAGUAACUCAGACCCAAAAGGACAUGCAUGCAUUCCUUUGCUCCUUGGACCUGGAAUUAAUCUAAAAGUCCAAGAAAGCAUCUGGUUCUGCAAAGAUACAGAAGCCAACAGUUGCCCGUCACCGCACCUGAUCUUGUUUGCCAGUUCCAGGUGGUGUGAACUUCUCCUGGGACCAUCUGUCCCUCCCAGCAGCUCCAGAGCCACACUGCCUUGGAAGACCCUACAGACAGACUGCUCCACUUUGGCUCUUCUUUCCACAGUGUCUUCAGCAUCUCUGUCUCUCCCAUUCCCACUCCACUUCUUCUAUCUCUCCCCAUGCAAGAGGCUUGGCAAUCAACAGCUGCACCUUCAUUGUCUGGCUUGGAGCUGAUGUCAGAUCUGAUUCAGAACAGAAUACAAUGUGAGAUGGACUUUGGUUGAGUGUGGAUUGAAAGCUCAUUGUAACAAGGAACGUGAAGGUGAGUUUGCUGAAUCCACCCUCCAAAGACAUGGGAUGUGUG